CGCGCCGCUGGCCCAGGUACAGCGUGAACACCGGCCCGAAGCGCUCGGCCAGCUGCGGAGACAGAGGCUGCAGUUUAUUAGCCACAUAAGCAAGUCACUGGCUGUGCUGCGCUUAACACUGCACCUCUCCUAAACCAAGAAGGGGCAUUGGCCUCUGGCAGAAGCUUCAGGGGCCUUUGCCUCCCUCCACUUUUUUCACCCCUCAAGGACCUUCCAGGACAAGGUUAGACAAUCAAGAAGAC